rnacentral:rRNA from 1 species
GACGAACGCUGGCGGCGUGCUUAACACAUGCAAGUCGAACGGAAAGGCCCUGGUUUUGUGGGGUGCUCGAGUGGCGAACGGGUGAGUAACACGUGAGUAACCUGCCCUGGACUUUGGGAUAACUUCAGGAAACUGGGGCUAAUACCGGAUAGGAGCUCCUGCUGCAUGGUGGGGGUUGGAAAGUUUCGGCGGUUGGGGAUGGACUCGCGGCUUAUCAGCUUGUUGGUGGGGUAGUGGCUUACCAAGGCUUUGACGGGUAGCCGGCCUGAGAGGGUGACCGGCCACAUUGGGACUGAGAUACGGCCCAGACUCCUACGGGAGGCAGCAGCGGGGAAUAUUGCACACUGGGCGGAAGCCUGAUGCAGCAACGCCGCGUGCGGGAUGACGGCCUUCGGGUUGUAAACCGCUUUCGCCUGUGACGAAGCGUGAGUGACGGUAAUGUGUAAAGAAGCACCGGCUAACUACGUG